rnacentral:lncRNA from 1 species
CUGUACAUGAGAGUGUGGACGCCGCAGCAGAGCUUCUCCAACGAGUACAGCAUCCCGACGAACGCCAUACUCUGCGGUAGAGCAGCGGGCCUUGGACACUGAGGAAGACGAGGAAGAAGACGACGAUUCAGCAUUGCAAAACUACUAUAGAAUAAGCCACACUACUACUAUAGGUGAAAGUGAAGAUGAGAAUUCAGGAUUACGAUUUCGGAUAUAUGUGUUGUAGCUAAAACUACUAUUCUUCUGAUCAUGUCAGGUGUUUUUCUCGUGUGUUAUAGCCUGUGGACAAGGCUUCAGGCUUAGGUGCAGAGUGCUCUGUUUCUGAUGCAGCAUUAUCAAUCUGUUGUGUUAUUCAGUGAUGUACCACUCAGUUUUACAACAAUAUCAAUAGCAACCAUUGUGCCGUGCAUAGACUGGAAAAGAAAACUUUGUAGAAUCAGUAAUGUAUUUGUCAAUUCAUCAGAACUUUGGAAGUCUCAAUCGCAUGAAUCAAGCAAGAGCUUGAGCAAAACUCAUCCAGAUUUCUGGUUGAAACGAUAUGAAGAGGGAAGCUGCUAGCUUCUGAAUUCUGAAGUCUCAACUGACGUGAUGGUUCUUCUUGGCUUGUUCUGUCAACCCCUUCUCCAAUGGUAGUGUAGAGAACCAUGUUCAACAGUCAGUUCAUAAAUGAAUGAUUAUCCACAGGUAAAUUACUACUCACUAAUGAUCUUGGUAUAGAACUAACGGAGCAGCAAAAGGAGUUAUAAUCUGUAGAAGUUGAAUUUAAACUUGUAUUUUUUUAAGUAACGUAUCUCAUAUUAGUUUAUCUUUGUCAAUUUUUUAAAAUAUUUUAAUGACUUUUUAGGUGAAAUGCAACAUCCAUUUAUGUGUUAAAAACACUUUCCCCGACAAGGUAAACAUGUAACUUUAAUAUAACACUCAUGGUUCACAUAGCAGAGAACAAAAAAAAAAGACUGAGAUUCAGCAUAAUUAAAAUUCCAUACAUGUUGCGUUAAGCAUGAACUGAACAUAAUUGCAGUAAAAGAUGACGAAGAAUUAAACAUGACACAAUCUAAACCGUUUUGUUAAACACCUUAACGGCAUCAACUGAGACGAGCUACCGAGUAAAAACUUAAAUUGAAGAACAACCAUGAUAUAUAGCUCAAGAUAAAUAUGUAGACAGAUCAAUAAGUGGCUAGAUUAAGCAGAGCUACUUCGGUGACCGCUGACCGUUCACAAUAAAGAGGAUCAUGGCGCCGCUGCGAGCUCGUUGAUCGAGCGACGACACCGUCGCCGCCGAGAUCCACCUCAGACGGAGUCUGCAAGCCCUGGCGCCGCCUCGUCACCGAUCGCGUCCUCCUCCUCCGUCUUCCACCGGACGCCAUUCCUCCACGACGGCGACGGCGACCACGAACUCCUCCCACACAAUCCCGGCCACGCCAUGAUCGCGGCGGACGAGGGUUUUUGAGGCUUGGCAUGGC